UUGAACGCUGGCGGCAGGCCUAACACAUGCAAGUCGAGCGGAUGAAGGGAGCUUGCUCCUGGAUUCAGCGGCGGACGGGUGAGUAAUGCCUAGGAAUCUGCCUGGUAGUGGGGGAUAACGUCCGGAAACGGGCGCUAAUACCGCAUACGUCCUGAGGGAGAAAGUGGGGGAUCUUCGGACCUCACGCUAUCAGAUGAGCCUAGGCCGGAUUAGCUAGUUGGUGGGGUAAAGGCCUACCAAGGCGACGAUCCGUAACUGGUCUGAGAGGAUGAUCAGUCACACUGGAACUGAGACACGGUCCAGACUCCUACGGGAGGCAGCAGUGGGGAAUAUUGGACAAUGGGCGAAAGCCUGAUCCAGCCAUGCCGCGUGUGUGAAGAAGGUCUUCGGAUUGUAAAGCACUUUAAGUUGGGAGGAAGGGCAGUAAGUUAAUACCUUGCUGUUUUGACGUUACCAACAGAAUAAGCACCGGCUAACUUCGUG
rnacentral:rRNA from 1 species